rnacentral:rRNA from 1 species
AUACGAAUGGUGCGAGCGUUGUUCGGAAUCACUGGGCAUAAAGAGCACGUAGGCGGCUCGGUCAGUCAGCUGUGAAAUCCCCCGUCUCAACCGGGGAACUGCAGCUGAUACUGCCGGGCUAGAGUGCGGGAGGGGAGAGCGGAAUUCCUGGUGGAGCGGUGAUAUGCGUAGAUAUCAGGAGGAACGCCGGAGGCGAAAGCGGCUCUCUGGCCCGCAACUGACGCUGAGGUGCGAAAGCUAGGGGAGCGAACAGGAUUAGAAACCCCAGUAGUCC